CUACGGGUUGCAGCGGUGAGGAAUAUUGCACAAUGGGGGGAACCCUGAUGCAACAACGCCGCGUGGAGGAUGACGCAUUUCGGUGUGUAAACUCCUUUUAUAUGUCAAGAAAAUGACGGUAGCAUAUGAAUAAGCACCGGCUAACUCCGUGCCAGCAGCCGCGGUAAUACGGAGGGUGCAAGCGUUACUCGGAAUCACUGGGCGUAAAGGACGCGUAGGCGGGUUGGAAAGUCAGGUGUGAAAUCCUACAGCUUAACUGUAGAACUGCACUUGAAACUUCUAAUCUAGAGCAUGGGAGGGGGAGAUGGAAUUAGUGGUGUAGGGGUAAAAUCCGUAGAUAUCACUAGGAAUACCUAAAGCGAAGGCGAUCUCCUGGAACAUUACUGACGCUAAGGCGUGAAAGCGUGGGGAGCAAACAGGAUUAGAUACCCCUGUAGUC
rnacentral:rRNA from 1 species